UACGAAGGCAGCAGUGGGGAAUAUUGCACAAUGGGCGAAAGCCUGAUGCAGCUAUGCCGCGUGUAUGAAGAAGGCCUUAGGGUUGUAAAGUACUUUCAUCGGGGAGGAAAAACAAAACUAAUAAUUUUAUUUCUUGACGUUACCCGAAAAAGAAGCACCGGCUAACUCCGUGCCAGCAGCCGCGGUAAUACGGAGGGUGCUAGCGUUAAUCAGAAUUACUGGGCGUAAAGAGCACGUAGGUGGUUUUUUUAAAGUCAGAUGUGAAAUCCCUGGGCUUAACCUGGAACUGCAUUUUGAAACUGAAAUACUAGAGUAUCGUAGAGGGAGGUAGAAUUCUAGGUGUAGCGGUGAAAUGCGUAGAUAUCUGGAGGAAUACCUGUGGCGAAAGCGGCCUCCUAAACGAAUACUGACACUGAGGUGCGAAAGCGUGGGGAGCAAACAGGGAUUAGAUACC
rnacentral:rRNA from 1 species